CUUUUUGCUAUUUCUUUGGGCCACUCCCAUGGCAUAUGGAGGUUCCCAGGCUAGGGGUCGCAUCGGAGCUGUAGCCACUGGCCUGCACCAGAGCCACAGCAACGCGGGAUCCGAGCCACGUCUGCGACCUACACCACAGCUCACGGCAAUGCCGGAUCGUUAACCCACUGAGCAAGGGCAGGGACCGAACCCGCAACCUCAUGUUUCCUAGUCGGAUUCGUUAACCACUGCGCCACAACGGGAACUCCUAUUAUUUUCUGUUAUAGUUGGUUUAUAGUGUUCCAUCAAUUUUCUCCUGUAGAGCAGUGACCUAGUCAUACACACACACACACACACACACACCCCCACACACACUCUCUCUCUCUUUGUGCCAUUUGGAAUUCUUACCAGCAACGAAUGGGAGUUCUUUUUGCUCCACAAACUCGCCAGAAUUUGGUGUUUUGUGUUCUCGGUUUAAGCCAUUCUAAUAAGUAUGUAGUGAUAUUUCAUUGCUGUUUUAAUUUGUAUUCUCCGGGGCCUCUUUUCAUGUGCUUAUUUGCUAUCUGUAUAUCUUCUUUGGUGAGAUAUCUGUUGAGGUCUUUGGCCUUGUUUUAAUUGAAAUCUUAUUAUUGGGUUUUAAGCUUUCUUUUCGUAUUUUGGAUAACAGCCCUCUGUCAGAUGGGUCUUUUGCCAAUAUUGCCUCCCAGUCUGUGGCUUGUCUUUUCAUUCACUUGACAUCAUUUUUCGCAGAGCAGAAAGUUUUUAUUUUAGUGAAAUCCAGCUCAUCACCUCUUUCUUUCAUGGAUCAUAUCUUUGGUGUUUGACCUCACAAGUCAUUGCCAAGCCCAAGAUCAUCUGGAUUCUCUCCUCUGUUGCCUUCCAGGAGUUUUAUAGGUUUGCAUUUUACGUUCACAUUUGUGAUCCAUUUUGAGUUAAUUUUUCUGAAGAGCAAUCUGGGUCUGGAUUAUUUUUUUUUGCAUUUGGAUGUUCAGUUGUUCAGUUGGUGUUUAAUUUUAUUUAUAAAUACAUAACCUUUAUUUGGAGUUCCUCUGUAGUGCAACAGGAUUGGCUGCAUCUUGGGCGCGCUAGGACACACAUUCGAUCCCCAGCCCGGCACAGUGGGUUAAGGAUCCAGCAUUGCCGCAGCUGUGGUUUAGGUUGCAGCUAGAGCUCGGAUCUGAUCCCUGGCUCAGGAGCUCCAUGUGCCGCAGCGUGGCCAAAAAAGAAAACAAACAAACAAAAAACCAUUUACCUAUUACUACAGCAGACUAUUUCAGCCUGCAUACCAAGCAAGCAUCACCGAAUGUUGUGUUUCACAAUAUUCUUUCGGGACAAGUUAGAAGGUUAGACCCAGGGGAGGUGUUCCACUAAACAAACUGGAGAGGCCAUGCAUCUAGUUCUCCCUCUUUGAGAUUCAAAUAUUCAGAGCAUAUUAAAAGUUCUGAUGAGUCCUAAUCAGACGGCUUGUCUCUGUGUUUCCCAAACUUAUUUCAUUGGUCACUCACUUUUUGCCCCCGAUUCUACUAAUUUCUCUAAGAAUUAAUGCUCCUGAACACACUUUAGGAAAUGCUUUUCCGGUCUGGUAUUCUUUUGCCUCCUUUCAAUCGCAUCUUCAUCAAGGAAUUACUUUCUUACUUAUUCACAGGUUUAUGUCCAAUGGACAUUAGUAUUGCUGGAAUAUUAAGUACAUAUAAAAAUAGCUAGACAGGAUGCAUGAACUCAGUGAUAUAUUUCGUCCAUGUCCACCAUGCCUAAAACAGCCCAUUCAAUCAAAAUUCUUCGCACGCUCAACACCAACAGCUAAUUACGCUUGCAGUCAAAUGCAGUGAGACGCUCCUUGUUAAAGCCACAGUCACAACACUCACACCCUGCAAAUACUGAAUACAAUAGUACUUCACACGAGCUCUUCAUCCACAGAGACACAUGGAUGACAUCCAUUUCGUUAUUUCAUCCAAGUAUUCAAUCGAGGGCAAUGGAAAACAAUUUGGAAGCUAUAAAUUGUCACUGAAUUGAUGCAUGUGAGAUCAUCACGCUGGUGUUGGCUGCUUUGAAGCUUUCAUGUGGAAAUGUGGGUUAUCACAUCAGAUUUGGGAUACUGACUUGAUGCUAAAUAUUCAUUAACCAAACUAAAAUCUAUCACCUACUCAGAUAAUUUCAGUCCCUUCUCUCUUAGUCAAUCCAGAUCUUCCAAAUAUCUUCCUAGCUUCCUCUCUACCUCCCUAUCUAGGUAUGCGUGGGAUUUCUGCACUAAUGACCCUGCGUAUUACCAGGAACUUGGACCGCAGAGGCAGGAAAUGAAGUGUUGAAAAAAAGUGAGAAAGAAGCCUCCUGAAAAAAACCAACCAAAACAUUAAAGAAAAGAUAAAAGCUCCCAGAAAAAAAGAAAAAAAAAAAAAAACAAGAAAAAACCCCCACAAAACUAAGUAAGGGGAAAGAAGUUUCACUUCUGGGGUUAAAAGGAUUGAAGUUGAACCCUCAGAAAUAUGUUUUUAACAUUCACAGGAAUUAUUAUACAUAUUUUAUGGGGGAAAAGAAACUUAAAACAGAGAAGAGACUCCAAAACUCUGUCAUAUGCCAACAACAUACACCAGAAAUAACUAACUCCAUCCCGCCACUUAGCAAAAUAACUGGGCGAAAGUUCUUGGUUUCCAGGGAUGCUAAAUAACCCACAGGGCUGAUGAUGAUGAGAUGAUUAGCAUAUGCUUACGUUUUUCAGGACUGAAUUUCCAAUAAAUGCCUUCCUUGGCUAAAACGUCUACAUUUAAAGAAAUGUGCAAUAAGGCACAGGCUUAUUUCUAGCCCCAUCUAAGCCCCAGAAUUCUGCAGAUACCAGUUUAAAUUGGUAAGGCAUUUUUUUUUUCAUACCAGUUGCUUAACAGGAUUUUGCUCCAUCAAGCACACAUUAAAAAAAAAAAAUUUGAAGUGACACACUACAUCAUAGCUGGAAACAACAAAACAUUUAAAAGGUCUUUUGUAUAACAUAUUGCAAGUCGCCAGCUGUUUUUCUGAUCCAUAGAGCAAAUCCUGCUCUGAAAGACUGCUGCCCAGAAGGCACGCGCUGACAUUGAUUUGAAUCCACCAGCUCUCCCGGUGGAUCAGAUGGCAUCUCAGCACUGGAAUCAGUAUUGCUAUCACAUACUCAUAUGUCGCCUCAUGGGACAAGAGCUGCAAGAAAUAUGAAGGGAAAUUGCUCCCGUUAGGGGACAGCUACAUUUAUUCCCGUUAAAAAAAAAAAAAAAAAAAAAGCCACCACCUAGAGUGUGCAUAUUUAAAUGCCGCUUAACUGAAAAAAGAGUCCACCCUUUUUUGCCCAAAUGUUAAUACACUCAGCAUAAUAAUCCACCAUGUCUGUUUCCUAGCCCUAUUCUUAGCCUUCCUUGGGGUUGAGCUAACUAGCCAAGUUCUUUUCAAGGCCAUGUGAAAAGGAUUUGUCCUCUCAGAAACUCACCACCAAAGACAUUUCAGAAAAAUGUCUGAAGAGGCUUCCACUUCUGCCUUUGUGUCCGUGUCCAACCUCGGAAGCGCACCCACCUUCCCAGAAAGAGGAAGGGCUCUUUCCAUCUGUGAAUCAGGUUCAGGGACAUUUCUACAUUUUUAUUUAUUCUUCAAUUUCCAGGAUGGUCCUUUAGUUUGAAGGACGGCAACCAUUUGGGGGAAAGCAAUUUCAAAUUUUAACUGAUUUUCUAAGCCACAAAUAAAGUGGCUUCACUUGAUGGAAAGCUGUGUCAUGCACCUAAGAGUUCAUUAGCUCUCUCGGCCUUUGCUUCUUCACAUGAACAAAAAGAUCCUGACUCCAAGUAAAUGUCUGUGAAGCUCAGUAAUUCCAAACAGCCUGGCUUCAGCCUAGGCUCACAGAAAAACACAGAGCCCUACCCCAAACCAUAUGCUUAUAUCCAUCCAUCCAUCCAUCCAUCC
rnacentral:lncRNA from 1 species